GACGAACGCUGGCGGCGUGCCUAGUACAUGCAAGUUGAGCGCUGAAGGUUGGUACUUGUACCAACUGGAUGAGCAGCAAACGGGUGAGUAACGCGUGGGGAAUCUGCCUUUGAGCGGGGGACAACAUUUGGAAACGAAUGCUAAUACCGCAUAAAAACUUUAAACACAAGUUUUAAGUUUGAAAGAUGCAAUUGCAUCACUCAAAGAUGAUCCCGCGUUGUAGUAGCUAGUUGGUGAGGUAAAGGCUCACCAAGGCGAUGAUACAUAGCCGACCUGAGAGGGUGAUCGGCCACAACGGGACUGGGACACGGCCCAAACUCCUACGGGAGGCAGCAGUAGGGAAACUUCGGCAAUGGACGAAAGUCUGGCCGAGCAACGCCGCGGGAGUGAAGAAGGUUGUCGGAUCGUAAAACUCUGUUGGUAGGGAAGAACGUUGGUGGGAGUGGAAAGCUCAUCAAGUGACGGUAACUACCCAGAAAGGGACGGCUAACUACGUG
rnacentral:rRNA from 1 species